rnacentral:rRNA from 2 species
AGGUUAAGUUAACAAGGGCGCAUGGUGAAUGCCUUGGCACUAGGAGCCGAUGAAGGACGGGACUAACACCGAUAUGCUUCGGGGAGCUGUACGUAAGCUAUGAUCCGGAGAUUUCCGAAUGGGGCAACCCAGCAGUUUUAAUCAACUGUUACCACUAGAUGAAUUCAUAGUCUAGUUGGAGGUAAACGCUGUGAACUGAAACAUCUCAUUAGCAGCAGGAAUAUAAAGAAAUUUCGAUUCCCUAAGUAGCGGCGAGCGAACGGGGAACAGCCCAAACCAAAGUGCUUGCACUUUGGGGUUGUAGGACUGAACAUUUGAGUUACCAAAGAACUUGAUAGUCGAAGGAUUUGGGAAAAUCCGCCAUAGAUGGUGAUAGCCCAGUAGAUUAAAUCAAAUUCUCUCAGUUCAGGAUCCUGAGUACGGCGGAACACGUGAAAUUCCGUCGGAAUCCGGGAGGACCAUCUCCCAAGGCUAAAUACUACCUAGUGACCGAUAGUGAACCAGUACCGUGAGGGAAAGGUGAAAAGCACCCCGGGAGGGGAGUGAAAUAGUUCCUGAAACCAUGUGCCUACAAUAAGUCAGAGCGCGUUAAUGCGUGAUGGCGUGCCUUUUGUAGAAUGAACCGGCGAGUUAUGAUCCCGUGCAAGGUUAAGACUAAAAAGUCGGAGCCGUAGCGAAAGCGAGUCUGAAAUGGGCGUUUUGAGUACGAGGUUAUAGACCCGAAACCAGGUGACCUAUCCAUGUCCAGGUUGAAGGUGCGGUAAAACGCACUGGAGGACCGAACCCGUGUAAGUUGAAAAUUGCUGGGAUGAGGUGUGGAUAGCGGUGAAAUUCCAAACGAACUUGGAGAUAGCUGGUUCUCUCCGAAAUAGCUUUAGGGCUAGCCUCGGAAUUAGGAUCAUGGAGGUAGAGCACUAUUUGGACUAGGGGCCCGUCUUGGGUUACUGAAUUCAGAUAAACUCCGAAUGCCAUUGAUUCAUAUCCGGGAGUCAGACGAUGAGUGAUAAGAUCCACCGUCGAAAGGGGAACAGCCCAGACCAUCAGUUAAGGUCCCUAAAUGUAUGCUAAGUGGAAAAGGAUGUGGAGUUGCAUAGACAACUAGGAUGUUGGCUCAGAAGCAGCCACCAUUUAAAGAGUGCGUAAUAGCUCACUAGUCGAGUGAUCCUGCGCCGAAAAUGUACCGGGGCUAAGCAUACUACCGAAACCAUGGAUGCGACCAUUAGGUCGCGUGAUAGGAGAGCGUUCUAAGGGCGGUGAAGCAAGAUCGUGAGGACUUGUGGAGCGCUUAGAAGUGAGAAUGCCGGUAUGAGUAGCGAAAGAUAGGUGAGAAUCCUAUCCACCGAAUGACUAAGGUUUCCUGGGGAAGGCUCGUCCUCCCAGGGUUAGUCGGGACCUAAGUCGAGGCCGAGAGGCGUAGACGAUGGAUAACAGGUUGAGAUUCCUGUACUAGUUAAGUGCGUUUGAGCAAUGGAGGGACGCAGGAGGCUAAGAUGUGCAUUCUGUUGGAUUAGAAUGUCCAAGCAGUAAGUCUUGUGAAGAGUCAAAUGCUUUUCACUUUAAGGACAAGCUGUGAUGGGGAGCGAAAUUUAGUAGCGAAGCGUCUGAUGUCACACUGCCGAGAAAAGCUUCUAGUGAGUACUUAACUACCCGUACCGCAAACCGACACAGGUAGUCGAGGAGAGAAUCCUAAGGUGAGCGAGUGAACUCUCGUUAAGGAACUCGGCAAAAUGACCCCGUAACUUCGGGAGAAGGGGUGCUGAUCGCAAGAUCAGCCGCAGUGAAUAGGCCCAGGCGACUGUUUAUCAAAAACACAGGUCUCUGCAAAAUCGUAAGAUGACGUAUAGGGGCUGACGCCUGCCCGGUGCUGGAAGGUUAAAAGGAUGGGUUAGCUUCGGCGAAGCUCAGAAUUGAAGCCCCAGUAAACGGCGGCCGUAACUAUAACGGUCCUAAGGUAGCGAAAUUCCUUGUCGGGUAAGUUCCGACCCGCACGAAAGGCGUAACGAUCUGGGCACUGUCUCAACGAGAGACUCGGUGAAAUUAUAUUGUCCGUGAAGAUGCGGACUACCCGCGACAGGACGGAAAGACCCCAUGGAGCUUUACUGUAGCUUGAUAUUGAGUGUUUGUACAGCUUGUACAGGAUAGGUAGGAGCCAUAGAAACCGGAACGCUAGUUUCGGUGGAGGCGUUGGUGGGAUACUACCCUCGCUGUAUGACCACUCUAACCCGCACCACUAAUCGUGGUGGGAGACAGUGUCAGGUGGGCAGUUUGACUGGGGCGGUCGCCUCCUAAAAAGUAACGGAGGCGCCCAAAGGUUCCCUCAGAAUGGUUGGAAAUCAUUCGCAGAGUGUAAAGGCACAAGGGAGCUUGACUGCGAGACAGACAGGUCGAGCAGGGACGAAAGUCGGGCUUAGUGAUCCGGUGGUACCGUAUGGAAGGGCCAUCGCUCAACGGAUAAAAGCUACCCUGGGGAUAACAGGCUUAUCUCCCCCAAGAGUCCACAUCGACGGGGAGGUUUGGCACCUCGAUGUCGGCUCAUCGCAUCCUGGGGCUGUAGUCGGUCCCAAGGGUUGGGCUGUUCGCCCAUUAAAGCGGUACGCGAGCUGGGUUCAGAACGUCGUGAGACAGUUCGGUCCCUAUCCGUCGCGGGCGUAGGAAAUUUGAGAGGACCUGUCCUUAGUACGAGAGGACCGGGAUGGACAUACCUCUGGUGUACCAGUUGUGCCGCCAGGCGCAUCGCUGGGUAGCUACGUAUGGAUGUGAUAAACGCUGAAAGCAUCUAAGUGUGAAACACACCUCAAGAUGAGAUUUCCCAUUCCUUUAUGGAAGUAAGACCCCUGAAAGAUGAUCAGGUAGAUAGGUUAGAAGUGGCAGUGCGGUGACGCAUGAAGCGGACUAAUACUAAUCGGUCGAGGACUUAACCAAG